CCGUUAGGAUUUAGAUUAGAUUUGAAAGACUAUUAUUUUAUUCCUGUAGCUAGUCAAAAUUUGAUUUCCAUAUCUGUGCUAGCAUAGGAUAGUUUUGAUUUUAAUUUUAAUAAAGGCUUCUGUUUUAUUUAUUUAUGAAAUAAAUUAGUUGCACAUGGUCUUUUAAUUGAUAGUCUUUAUCACUUAAAUAUUGAUGCGAAUGUGAAUUUGAAUGAGCAAGUAG
rnacentral:lncRNA from 1 species